rnacentral:rRNA from 1 species
AACGAACGCUGGCGGCAGGCUUAACACAUGCAAGUCGAACGCAUCCUUCGGGGUGAGUGUCAGACGGGUGAGUAACGCGUGGGAACGUGCCCUUCAGUUCGGGAUAACCCAGGGAAACUUGGGCUAAUACCGGAUACGUGCGAGAGCAGAAAGAUUUAUCGCUGAAGGAUCGGCCCGCGUCUGAUUAGCUAGUUGGUGGGGUAAUGGCCCACCAAGGCGACGAUCAGUAGCUGGUCUGAGAGGAUGAUCAGCCACAUUGGGACUGAGACACGGCCCAAACUCCUACGGGAGGCGGCAGUUGGGAAUAUUGCGCAAUGGACGACAGUCUGACGCAGCGACGCCGCGUGAAGGAUGAAGGUUUUCGGAUCGUAAACUUCUUUUAUAGGGGACGAUUGUGACGGUACCCUAUGAAUAAGGGCCUGCUAACUACGUGCCAGCCGCCGCAGUAA